rnacentral:tRNA from 1 species
GCCUCCAUAGCUCAGCUGGUAGAGCAAGUGAUUUGUAAUCACUAGGUCGGCGGUUCGAUUCCGUCUGGAGGCUCAA